UGGGCUGGUCGCAAGACCCAGGUCCAUCAACGGCGGGGAAGUUCCCC
rnacentral:sRNA from 12 species